rnacentral:rRNA from 1 species
UACGGGGGGGGCAAGCGUUGUUCGGAAUUACUGGGCGUAAAGGGCUCGUAGGCGGCCAACUAAGUCAGACGUGAAAUCCCUCGGCUUAACCGGGGAACUGCGUCUGAUACUGGAUGGCUUGAGUUCGGGAGAGGGAUGUGGAAUUCCAGGUGUAGCGGUGAAAUGCGUAGAUAUCUGGAGGAACACCGGUGGCGAAGGCGGCAUCCUGGACCGACACUGACGCUGAGGCGCGAAAGCGUGGGGAGCAAACAGG